rnacentral:rRNA from 1 species
UACGGAGGGUGCAAGCGUUAAUCGGAAUUACUGGGCGUAAAGCGCACGCAGGCGGUUUGUUAAGUCAGAUGUGAAAUCCCCGGGCUCAACCUGGGAACUGCAUUUGAAACUGGCAAGCUAGAGUCUUGUAGAGGGGGGUAGAAUUCCAGGUGUAGCGGUGAAAUGCGCAGAGAUUUGGAGGAAUACCGGUGGCGAAGGCGGCUUCCUGGACAUAGACUGACGCUGAGGUGCGAAAGCGUGGGGAGCAAACAGG